GUGAACGCUGUGCAAGCAGCCGGUGUAAGACGGGGUGUGCAAGCGGUAUCCGGAUUUAUUGGGUUUAAAGGGUUCGUAGGCGGACUUAGAAGUCAGUGGGGAAAGCCUGUGGCUUAACGAUAGAACUGCCAUUGAUACUGUAAGUCUUGAGUAUAUUUGAGGUAGCUGGAAUAAGUAGUUUAGCGGUGAAAUGCAUAGAUAUUACUUAGAACACCAAUUGCGAAGGCAGGGUACCAAGAUAUAACUGACGCUGAGGGACGAAAGCGUGGGGAGCGAACAGGAUUAGAUACCCUAGUAGUC
rnacentral:rRNA from 1 species